UACGGAGGGGGCUAGCGUUGUUCGGAAUUACUGGGCGUAAAGCGCACGUAGGCGGCUUUGUAAGUUAGAGGUGAAAGCCCGGGGCUCAACUCCGGAAUUGCCUUUAAGACUGCAUCGCUAGAAUUGUGGAGAGGUAAGUGGAAUUCCGAGUGUAGAGGUGAAAUCCGUAGAUAUUCGGAAGAACACCAGUGGCGAAGGCGACUUACUGGACACAUAUUGACGCUGAGGUGCGAAAGCGUGGGGAGCAAACAGG
rnacentral:rRNA from 1 species